rnacentral:misc_RNA from 1 species
GAUGAAGAACGCAGCGAAAUGCGAUAAGUAAUGUGAAUUGCAGAAUUCAGUGAAUCAUCGAAUCUUUGAACGCACAUUGCUCCCGCUAGUAUUCUGGCGGGCAUGCCUGUCCGAGCGUCAUUUCAACCCUCAAGCCCCCGGGCUUGGUGUUGGGGAUCGGCGAGCCUCCGCGCCCGCCGUCCCCUAAAUCUAGUGGCGGUCUCGCUGUAGCUUCCUCUGCGUAGUAGCACACCUCGCACUGGGAAACAGCGCGGCCACGCCGUUAAACCCCCAACUUCUGAACGUUUGACCUCGGAUCAGGUAGGAAUACCCGCUGAACUUAAGCAUAUCAAUAAGCGGAGGA